CUGGUAGGAGUGCAUAGUAACAUAAUAAGGUAGUUCAUAGCAAGUUUGUGGGCGAUAAGGUUGGAUGUCACAAAAUAUACAUCCUAUUGUGAUGCAUCAUAAGGUACUUCUCAAAAAGGUUAUACAUCCUACUAUGAUGCAUCAAAAGGUUGUAGUUCUCAAAAAGCUAGUCCUAAAAAAGAUUGUACAUAAUUUUUCAUAUUUAAAUUUAGUCAUUCAGUCUUGAUAUGCUUUGCCACCUUGGAGGAUGACAAUUGAGUGGAUUUAUAGAGGGCACUUUGUAGCAGG
rnacentral:lncRNA from 1 species